ensembl:lncRNA
GUUGGGUCUACUAGGAUAAUCAUUUAUUGAUUUCAUUUUUUUUGGCUGCACAGAGUCUUAACCACUAAACCAGCAGACCUGUCAACUGACCAAGACAUCUUUGGAACCUAACUGGAUAUUUCUAGAAAAUCCUCUAGAAUCAUCUAGAACAUGAUAAGUGCCCCUGAAGAUUAAUUAGCAUUCCCAUUCAGAUAUGUAUGGAGUUUUUGAAAAUUCAAAAGGGGAAGUCUGAAGACUUUGCACCAUCCCCAUGGUUUGUGCCAUAGCCAUGCAAUUGACAAUGUGGCAUAUUGGCCAUGGUCCACUC